GACAGAGGGUGCAAGCGUUGUUCGGAAUCAUUGGGCGUAAAGGGCGCGUAGGCGGUUUUGUAAGUCGGAUGUGAAAGCCCAGGGCUUAACCUUGGAAGUGCAUCCGAAACUGCAUGACUGGAGUCUCGGAGAGGGUGGUGGAAUUCCCAGUGUAGAGGUGAAAUUCGUAGAUAUUCGCAAGAACACCAGUGGCGAAGGCGGCUCACUGGCCCGGUACUGACGCUGAGGUGCGAAAGCGUGGGGAGCAAACAGG
rnacentral:rRNA from 1 species